rnacentral:rRNA from 1 species
ACGCUCGACACCUAGGGGGCCAGCAGUGGGGGAUAUUGCGCAAUGGGGGAAACCCUGACGCAGCAACGCCGCGUGAAGGACGAAGGUUUUCGGAUUGUAAACUUCUUUUGUUAGGGACGAAGAAAUGACGGUACCUGACGAAUAAGCUCCGGCUAACUACGUGCUAGCAGCCGCGGUAAUCUGAGCGGGCUGGCAAGGC